CAGUCUCAUAAUCUGAAGGUCCUGAG
rnacentral:piRNA from 5 species